rnacentral:rRNA from 1 species
AGAGUUUGAUUACUGGCUCAGGAUGAACGCUGGCGGCGUGCCUAACACAUGCAAGUCGAACGGAUCUAAUGUUGAAAUAGGCUUCGGCUGAAAUAGGUAUUAGAUUAGUGGCGGACGGGUGAGUAACACGUGGAUAACCUGCCCUUGACACAGGAAUAACAUUCAGAAAUGGAUGCUAAAACCUGAUAAGCUCACGCUCCGGCAUCGGAGAGGGAGAAAAUAUUAAUAGGUCAAGGAGGGGUCCGCGUCCGAUUAGCCAGUUGGCGGGGUAAUGGCCCACCAAAGCGAUGAUCGGUAGCCGGCCUGAGAGGGUGAACGGCCACAUUGGGACUGAGACACGGCCCAAACUCCUACGGGAGGCAGCAGUGGGGAAUAUUGCGCAAUGGGGGAAACCCUGACGCAGCAACGCCGCGUGAAGGAAGAAGGCCCUCGGGUUGUAAACUUCUAUCGACGGGGAAGAAAAAAAUGACGGUACCCGAGUAAGAAGCACCGGCUAACUACGUGCCAGCAGCCGCGGUAAUACGUAGGGUGCAAGCGUUAUCCGGAAUUACUGGGCGUAAAGGGUGAGUAGGCGGCACUGCAAGUCACAUGUGAAAUUCCUGGGCUCAACCCAGGAACUGCAUGAGAAACUGUGGAGCUAGAGUGCAGGAGAGGUAAGCGGAAUUCCUAGUGUAGCGGUGAAAUGCGUAGAUAUUAGGAAGAACACCAGUGGCGAAGGCGGCUUACUGGACUAUAACUGACGCUGAGUCACGAAAGCGUGGGGAGCGAACAGGAUUAGAUACCCUGGUAGUCCACGCUGUAAACGAUGAUAGCUAGGUGUCGGGGAGAGAUCUUCGGUGCCGGAGUAAACACAAUAAGCUAUCCGCCUGGGGAGUACGGCCGCAAGGCUGAAACUCAAAGGAAUUGACGGGGGCCCGCACAAGCGGUGGAGUAUGUGGUUUAAUUCGACGCAACGCGAAGAACCUUACCAAGGCUUGACAUGGAGACGACCGGAUAAGAGAUUAUCCUUCCC